CCUUCGAUAGCUCAGUUGGUAAACCGGGGGACUGUAGAUUUAUAAUUGUGAUCCCCAGGUCUCUGGUUCGAAUCCGGGUCGAAGGA
rfam:Nematostella vectensis strain CH2 x CH6 NEMVEscaffold_285_Cont22394, whole genome shotgun sequence.